UAAACAGAAGCUCGUUAGUUGGAGCGUUUAGCUGUUAAUUAAAUAUUUGUGGGAUCAAAGCCCUCCUGUUUAU